rfam:Triticum aestivum genome assembly, contig: Triticum_aestivum_CS42_TGACv1_scaffold_513798_6BS
CUUGUACUCCCUCCAUCCGAAAAUACUUGUCAUCAAAAUGGAUAAAAAGAGAUGUAUCUAACAUUUUAGACACAUCUCUUUUUAUCCAUUUUGAUGACAAGUAUUUUUGGACGGAGGGAGUACUUC